UACGAAGGGGGCUAGCGUUGCUCGGAUUUACUGGGCGUAAAGGGCGCGUAGGCGGAUUUCUAAGUCGGGGGUGAAAGCCCAGGGCUCAACCCUGGAAUUGCCUUCGAUACUGGAAGUCUUGAGUACGGGAGAGGUGAGUGGAACUCCGAGUGUAGAGGUGAAAUCGUAGAUAUUCGGAAGAACACCAGUGGCGAAGGCGACUCACUGGCCCGUUACUGACGCUGAGGCGCG
rnacentral:rRNA from 1 species